CAGCAGCCGCCACGGUAAAACGUAGGUGGCAAGCGUUGUCCGGAAUUAUUGGGCGUAAAGGGCUCGCAGGCGGUUUCUUAAGUCUGAUGUGAAAGCCCCCGGCUCAACCGGGGAGGGUCAUAGGAAACUGGGAAACUUGAGUGCAGAAGAGGAGAGUGGAAUUCUACGUGUAGCGGUGAAAUGCGUAGAGAUGUGGAGGAACACCAGUGGCGAAGGCGACUCUCUGGUCUGUAACUGACGCUGAGGAGCGAAAGCGUGGGGAGCGAACAGGAUUAGAGACCCCGGUAGUCCCUGUCUCUUAUAC
rnacentral:rRNA from 1 species